CCGAGCUCGCGCCCGGGUCCCCGGCCAAGCUGGAGCCCAAGCCCAUCGUCCCCAAAGCCGAGCCCAAGGCCAAGGCCCGCAAGACGGAGGCCCGAGGGCUGUCCAAGGCGGGGGCCAAGAAGAAGGCUCGGAAGGAGACGGGGCAGGCAGCCGAGGCCGCCGUGGAGGUGGACGAGGUCCCCAACACCGUCCUCAUCUGCAUGGUGAUCCUGCUUAACAUCGGCCUGGCCAUCCUCUUCGUUCACCUCCUGACCUGACCCUUGUCUACCAGAGCCAGCAGUCCCUGCUGAGGAUGUGAGGACCCAUCUUUCUGCAUUACCAGGCAGGGUGGCCAAGGAGGACUGAACUCUGGACCUGGAGCCCUGGGGUCCAGCUCACAUCCACACCACAUCCGUUUAAGGAGGCCUCCUGUGGCCCUGCGCUGGGUGGCAGUGGUGCCCAGAGGAAUGGAAUGUGCUGGGGAUCCUCCGGGAGCUCUGUGCCCGGUGGUAGGGGAAGCCUCAAAGGAAGAGCCCUGGUCUCUUGAGCGCGCCUUUCCCUCAUCCUCAUCCAUUCCCUCGCCUUGCUGCUAGGGUCCCCCUACCCUGAGCUUUUGUGUGUUUUGGGAGACGUCACUAAACCAAGGUAGUAAUACGAACUCCCAGCCCCUUUCCUUGCACCCCUGCCCUGAUUUAUUUUAACCGUCUGGCUGUGGGGGGAGUGACAGAUCCCCGAGGCGGGCGAGCCAGGGAGCCACCCCGCCCCCCCGACGGGGCAGAGGCCCUGCCUUUCGUGGGCUUCGCGCAGCACACACUCUGUCCCUUGCUUACAGAUGUUCUGGAUGACAAUAGAGGCAAUGGACAUGCUUAGUUUGAAAAUCCCAGGACACAGUGCUCCUGCCUCCUCCCACCGGUUCAGUCAGCUUCCCUCCUGGACCAGUAGAAGAGGUGGAGAUGCGAGGCACUGGAGCCUGGGGUGGGAAGAAGGGCCAAGGGGCAGGUGGGAUGGCCCCUGUCUUUGAGUGUGCCUGAGCCCGAGGCUGCCUCGCAUCUGGGGCUUCCAGUGGGCCCAGGGCACUCAAGGGCCACCCCGCAGGGGCCCCGGGGCUGCCAGAAUAACACCGGGAUGUCCUAUGAAUUGGUUUGUCCGUUUCCCUCACCAGGGCCCACUGCAGCCUCAAGGGAGAAUGAGCAUGGAAACCCUUGGAAGCCCAGGCAGAUUUCUCUGGGGACAGACUCUCAGGCAGGUGCUGAAGACAGGCUAUUUGUCAACCAUCAUUUCCCAGGGAGAGAAGAGCAAGUCUGAGGUCCCCAGUGGGUGCAGUCUGUUGGAUAAUGAGCCCCUUGGCUUGCUUGGCAGAAGAUGGUAUUUGCAUGUAGCUCAUUACAGAUGUUUCGUAUCACACUGGAUCUCCAGUCCCUUGUGCUUGCUGGGCUGGGUGGAGGCUGAGGGCUCACGGUCCCGUGAACCUGGGAGGACAGAGGAAAGGGCUUCUAGGCCCCUUCAAACCCAGGGAAGGUUGUGGCAAUGGCAUCCAAGCAGAACCGUGGGGAUGCUGCUCUCCUGCUUAUUUCUGUGGACCUUGGGGGCUUUGGUGUUGUGAUCCAGCUCUGCAACCUGGAGUCUGUUUCUGAUGAGGUUGGCCUCGCCUUUCCCCCUCGGUACUUGGGCACCUUCCUCCAGCUCCACGCGUGCUGUUUCAAGCGCCGCUGGGGCCUCAUGGUGGAGCUGGAACCUUGGACUGCGUUUCUGUGGAGAGGAGCCUGCGGAUUCUCCUGUCCUCAGCCAGCCUGUGGCUCUGCGUCUGUUUGGGCUUUUCUGGACUCCGAGGGAAGGACAGGGCUGGGCUGGGGGCACUGCUCAGGGCUGGUGGGCCCCUGCCUCGGCUCUGAGAGCAUUGUCCAGGUUUGGGGCUGGCCCAGUGCUGGAGAUAAGCCUCUGGGUACCAGAGCUCCCGGGCCUAGGGUUAGGGCUGGUGCUUGGGGUGAGGGUUCUGGAUGCUGCCGUCUGUACAAUAAUAAACCUGCAUCUGCUCGUGGGCUCUGGAGGA